rnacentral:rRNA from 1 species
CUGACACAGGGAGGUAGUGACAAAAAAUAACUUAGCCCGGCCGUUUUCGGUCGGGCUUUAGGAAUGAGAACAAUUUAAAUCCCUUAUCGAGGAUCAAUUGGAGGGCAAGUCUGGUGCCAGCAGCCGCGGUAAUUCCAGCUCCAAUAGCGUAUAUUAAUGUUGUUGCAGUUAAAAAGCUCGUAGUUGGAUUUCUGGUUGGACCGCGAUGCCGGACUCGCAAGGGUUCGUGAUUGUUGUGGUUUCCUUCCAUCCUCAGGUUUGCGCGUGCUGGCCUUAACUGGUCGGUGGGUGUGGUCCUGUCGUUUACUGUGAACAAAUUAGAGUGUUCAAAGCAAGGUGUACUUGAAUACAUUAGCAUGGAAUAAUAAGAUAGGACUUUGGUGGUUCUUUUUGAUAUUUUGUUGGUUUGCACGCCAAAGUAAUGAUUAAUAGGAGCAGUUGGGGGUAUUCGUAUUCAAUUGUCAGAGGUGAAAUUCUUGGAUUUAUAGAAGACGAACUACUGCGAAAGCA